AGGGGGACACAGGUAUCGGACAACCAGGACCUAGAGGAGAACGAGGAGAUCCAGGAACUCGGGGUGAAGAUGGGCGCCCAGGUCUGGAGGGAGAUCGAGGGCCUGCUGGCCCUCCCGGAAACAGAGGGGAGAGAGGUGACAAAGUAAGUAAGAAUUGGG